AUUGAACGCUCGCGGGAUGCUUUACACAUGCAAGUCGAACGGCAGCGCGGACUUCGGUCUGGCGGCGAGUGGCGAACGGGUGAGUAAUGUAUCGGAACGUGCCCAGUAGCGGGGGAUAACUACGCGAAAGCGUAGCUAAUACCGCAUACGCCCUACGGGGGAAAGCAGGGGAUCGUAAGACCUUGCACUAUUGGAGCGGCCGAUAUCGGAUUAGCUAGUUGGUGAGGUAACGGCUCACCAAGGCGACGAUCCGUAGCUGGUUUGAGAGGACGACCAGCCACGCUGGGGCUGAGACACGGCCCAGAAUCCUACGGGAGGCAGCAGUGGGGAAUUUUGGACAAUGGGGCAACCCUGAUCCAGCCAUCCCGCGUGUGCGAUGAAGGCCUUCGGGUUGUAAAGCACUUUUGGCAGGAAAGAAACGUCGCGGGCUAAUACCCCGUGGAACUGACGGUACCUGCAGAAUAAGCACCGGCUAACUACGUG
rnacentral:rRNA from 1 species